UCCGGUUUGUCACCGGCAGUCUCCUUAAAGUUCCCGUCAUUACACGCUGGCAAAUAAGGAUAGGGGUUGCGCUCGUUACGGGACUUAACCCAACAUUUCACAACACGAGCUGACGACAGCCAUGCAGCACCUGUCUCUGCGCUCCCGAAGGCACCAAGGUAUCUCUACCAAGUUCGCAGGAUGUCAAGAGUAGGUAAGGUUCUUCGCGUUGCGUCGAAUUAAACCACAUGCUCCACCGCUUGUGCGGGCCCCCGUCAAUUCAUUUGAGUUUUAAUCUUGCGACCGUACUCCCCAGGCGGUCAACUUAUUGCGUUAGCUGCGCCACCAAACACACUAAGGUGCCCAACGGCUAGUUGACAUCGUUUACGGCGUGGACUAC
rnacentral:misc_RNA from 1 species